UACGUAGGGUGCGAGCGUUAAUCGGAAUUACUGGGCGUAAAGCGUGCGCAGGCGGUUCGUUGUGUCCGAUGUGAAAGCCCCCGGGCUUAACCUGGGAAUGGCAUUGGAAACUGGCGAGCUUGAGUGCGGCAGAGGGGGGUGGAAUUCCGCGUGUAGCAGUGAAAUGCGUAGAGAUGCGGAGGAACACCGAUGGCGAAGGCAGCCCCCUGGGUCAAUACUGACGCUCAUGCACGAAAGCGUGGGGAGCAAACAGG
rnacentral:rRNA from 1 species